CGCUCUUUCUCUCUCUCAAUCUCUUUCCCUUUCGCGUCUUUCUUCCUCUGCUCUCACCCAAAACUUCAAGCUUCCUCUCCUCUCACCCAAAACUUCGAGCUUCCUCUCUUCAAGUUUCUUUUUUCUUCUUGAAUAUUAGGCACAUGGAUCAAAAUGUUUCAGAUUCAUCUUCAGAUGCUGCAAAUGAGGAAUUUUGGGAUCUUGCCAGUUUAUCAUCAUGCGAAGAAUUGUUGAAUCUGUAGAUUACUGCUCUACAAGAGAUGGGAAGAAGAAGACGCUGGGCAACGUCACUUGGCUAAUAUCAGCCGGUAACAGCCAUGCCAUUACAUAUGUUCCACAUUAUGACACCCUUGGAGCUAAGGAUGAAGCCGUGUUAUGUAGUUUUUGUGGGUCUCUCAGCUAGUACUAAAGCUUGUAUGUACAAAGUUUUUCAAGUAAGUGUUGUGCGUAAUAUAGAUACUAAUGUAAUUGGUAUGCUUUCUUUUGCACUCCCAGCUAACACUUCAAUGUUGUGUUCUUGUUGAUGAUGGUUAUCAUGAGUUGUUUUGGGAAAUUAAUGCUUAUUCAAAGCAAUGGACUAUGAUUUCAAGUGAAAUUUAAAACUUGUGAAUGGCUGCACCUGAGCCUAUUUCUAGCUUUUGCUUGCUGUCCAUUCGCACAGCUCAAGCUUUUAGGACAUAGUGUUCUGACAUUGUACCAAAAGCAUUAUUUGAAACCACCAAUUAAGUGUUCUGACAUUUCACAUUUGUUUAUGACGUUUUGGU